rnacentral:misc_RNA from 1 species
UUUCCCUAGGUGAACCUGCGGAAGGAUCAUUACUGAGUGAGGGCCCCUCGGGGUCCAACCUCCCACCCGUGUUUAACGAACCUUGUUGCUUCGGCGGGCCCGCCCCACGGCCGCCGGGGGGCAUCUGCCCCCGGGCCCGCGCCCGCCGAAGCCACCUGUGAACGCUGUCUGAAGUAUGCAGUCUGAGACAAUUAUUAAAUUAAUUAAAACUUUCAACAACGGAUCUCUUGGUUCCG